rnacentral:miRNA from 1 species
AGAGGGAGAAGCAGAAGAGAAUA